UACGGGGGGGGCAAGCGUUGUUCGGAAUUACUGGGCGUAAAGGGCUCGUAGGCGGCCAACUAAGUCAGACGUGAAAUCCCUCGGCUUAACCGGGGAACUGCGUCUGAUACUGGAUGGCUUGAGUUUGGGAGAGGGAUGCGGAAUUCCAGGUGUAGCGGGUGAAAUGCGUAGAUAUCUGGAGGAACACCGGUGGCGAAGGCGGCGUUCUGGACUGUAACUGACACUGAGGAACGAAAGCCAGGGGAGCAAAACGGGG
rnacentral:rRNA from 1 species